rnacentral:rRNA from 1 species
UACGAGGGGGGCGAGCGUUGUUCGGAAUUAUUGGGCGUAAAGGGUGCGUAGGCGGUGCCGCAAGUCCUGUGUGAAAUCUUCGGGCUCAACUCGAAGUCUGCACGGGAAACUGCGGGGCUUGAGUGUGGGAGAGGUGAGUGGAAUUCCCGGUGUAGCGGUGAAAUGCGUAGAUAUCAGGAGGAACACCAAUUGCGAAGGCAGCUCGCUGGGACGUUACUGACGCUGAGACGCGAAAGCGUGGGGAGCAAACAGG